CCGAGUUAUACAACUCCCAAACCCACUGUGAACCUUACCAAAUCGUUGCUUCGGCGGGACAGCCCCGGGCCCCAGCGGCCCGGAACCAGGCGCCCGCCGGAGGCCAAACAAACUCUUCUGUUUUCUCUUAGCGGAAUCUAUCUGAGUGGCCCCUCGUGGGCAAGCAAAUGAAUCA
rnacentral:misc_RNA from 1 species